AAUAGUUUUAUGUUUGCUUCAUAAUCAAAUUAAUACUCAUAAUUCUAUAUCAAAUUAACCUCUCUUUUGCUAAAGUUGGCAAGCUAAAAUUUCAAGGAAGUCAAUAAUGAAGCCAUUUGCAGCCUUUGUUCUUAUCUUCUUGCUUGCCUUGACUUUAGAGGGGGUGGGUCCAAGAGUGGCAGAAGGAUUCUUGGGAAUUGGAAAGAAAUGCAAAGUUCCAAGUACAACCAAAAAAGGGCCAUGCGCAAGUGAUUCCAACUGUGACGCCAUUUGCAGGGCGGAGGGAAUGAGAGCAGGAAUUUGCCAUGGCUUUCGCAGAAGAUGCCUUUGCUGUCCUCGUUAGGGUUCCGUCAUCGGCUAUGACGACUAUCUACUCUCUUCGUCGGAAAUUAAUAGUCAUAUUAUUUGAACUACCGUUCAAAUUAUAUACUAAUGUAACAAGUAAUUAAACCGGACCAUCUAUCUAUCUACGUAUUUAAAUUAGCUCCAUGCACUAGCAAUUUGUUUAAUCUUAUAUAUUUUGGGCGAAAGAAUAAAAUUCUAGCUAGUUUCUAUGUGUUGUAUGAGUUGUUUUCUUGUAAAAUAAAAGGGCGCAUCAUGAAUGGAGCCAUGUAGGCGUUACCUUUGAUUAAUAUAUUUUCUACUCAUGAAUGUGUUAAAAGUUGCUUA